GUGUCAGGGGUUCAGGGAGAGAGGCACAGGGUAGGCAGGAGAUGGAGAGCGAUGGGGAGGAAUUCCAAGCCAGCGAGGAAGAGGAUGACAAUGACUCAAGAGAUUCCAUGAGUCUUUCCAGCGAAUCAGAGGAUUCCCAGAAGGGGGCGCCGGUGGUCAAGGCCAGGGAGCCCCAGGGGGGAAGUGUCAGGAGCAGGGUGCCAGCGGAGGAUCCCAAAGUGGCAGCUGGGCGUCAGGACCAGCCUCCCCACCAGAGUGCAGCGAAGGGGGUGGAGUUUCCAGUGUGUCAGAGGAAGCAGCUCCAGCAGCAGAGAAAGGAGGGGGGGUCAGAGCAAGCCGCCCUCCCGGAAGGGGAGGGGAGCAGUGAAGGGAGUAGUGUAACUGUCAAAAGGAAAGUUAGAGGAUUGGCGCGCGCGCCUAGUUCAAAUGUAGAGGCGCGCGGAAGUGCAGGGAGCCCGGAGGAGGGGCCAGGUCCCAAAGCCCGCAGGAGGGGGGAAGAGCAGUCUGAUUCCGCGUCAGAGGAAUCCAGGAGGGGCGAAACCCCAGUGGGCAGAAGGACCCUGCGGAAAAGGAAGGAGAGAAAGAGGUGGAGCAGCGCAAGUCUCUUAAAUUGGUGCAGGGGAGGAACUGACUCAGAGGGGACUUCGGCGGUCUAGCGUAAGAGACGUAAGGCUGCGCGCCUAGGAUGUCAAGCAAACCAUGAACUGCAAUAAACACUUUUGUAUAU
rnacentral:lncRNA from 1 species